GCGGUAUGCUUACACAUGCAAGUCGAACGAAAUCUUCGGAUUUAGUGGCGGACGGGUGAGUACGCGUGAGAUCUGCCAUCAGGUCUGGGACACCACUGGAAACGGUGGCUAAUACUGGAUGUGCCGAAAGGUGAAAGGUUAACUGCCUGUUGAUGAGCUCGCGUCUGAUUAGCUAGUAGGUGUGGUAAAGGCGCACCUAGGCGACGAUCAGUAGCUGGUCUGAAAGGACGAUCAGCCACACUGGGGAACUGAGACACGGGCCCAGACUCCUACGGGAGGCAGCAGUGGGGGAAUUUCCCGCAAUGGGCGAAAGCCUGACGGAGCAAUACCGCGUGAGGGAGGAAGGCUCUUGGGUCGUAAACCUCUUUUCUCAGGGAAGAACAAGAUGACGGUACCUGAGGAAUAAGCAUCGGCUAACUCCGUGCCAGCAGCCGCGGUAAUACGGAGGAUGCAAGCGUUAUCCGGAAUGAUUGGGCGUAAAGCGUCCGGAGGUGGCGAUGUAAGUCUGCUGUUAAAGAGUCUAGCUCAACUA
rnacentral:rRNA from 1 species